rnacentral:rRNA from 1 species
GAUGAACGCUGGCGGCGUGCUUAACACAUGCAAGUCGAACGGUGAAGGCGGAGCUUGCUCUGCUGGAUCAGUGGCGAACGGGUGAGUAACACGUGAGCAAUCUGCCCCUGACUCUAGGAUAAGCGCUGGAAACGGCGUCUAAUACUGGAUACGAGCUGCGAAGGCAUCUUCAGCAGCUGGAAAGAAUUUCGGUCAGGGAUGAGCUCGCGGCCUAUCAGCUUGUUGGUGAGGUAAUGGCUCACCAAGGCGUCGACGGGUAGCCGGCCUGAGAGGGUGACCGGCCACACUGGGACUGAGACACGGCCCAGACUCCUACGGGAGGCAGCAGUGGGGAAUAUUGCACAAUGGGCGAAAGCCUGAUGCAGCAACGCCGCGUGAGGGACGACGGCCUUCGGGUUGUAAACCUCUUUUAGCAGGGAAGAAGCGAAAGUGACGGUACCUGCAGAAAAAGCGCCGGCUAACUACGUG